CCGGCCAAACCAGAAGAGAAGAGAAACCAAGGAAGAACAAACCAUAGGUGGGGAAAAUCAAAGAGAAAGUGUUGGAAUUCAAGGAUUUGAUCAAGCAAAGGUAAAAUUUCUUUGAUUUUGCUAGUGAUUUACCUUACCCAUGCAUUUCUCCUUGAUUUCCAUGCUUGGAUUGUAUGUUUUCAUGGAGAAAUCAUGGCUGGCCGAAUUGGUUUGGUGAGAGAAAUGAUGUUGGAAUUGUUUGAUUUUGAGUUAUGUUGGUGUUUUGAGUUAGUUAAGCAUGUUUAGAAACAAAACAAUAAGAAAAGAAUCCAUUUUCCCCAUGAACCUUCAAUGGCCGAACCCUAUGUGAAGUGUAGAAGUAAUGAAUUGAUUUUGUGAUCAAGUGAAUUGGUUGAAAAAUUGAUGAAAUGAUGAUUUAUGGUGAGAAAAUGGAAUGGGAAAAUUUUUAAUGAUAGUGCACCACAAUGGCCGAAAUUUUCAAGAAGAAUUGUGAGGGUUAUUAGGUUGAAUUUUAGAUUAUUGGAAUUGUAUUUAGUGAAUUGAAAUAUUAGAAAUGAAAUGGAGCAAUUUGGAGCCAAAUCGGACACAAUUGUCAUUUAAUAGGAUAAUAGACCGAAUUAGGUCAGCACCGCAUUUAAGCGGUAGUCGGAUAAGUUGCAUAUCAUAUCAUGCAUAUACAUCGAGCCUGAAUUGAUUUUGUAAUGGUCAAGCACUAAUGUGGUGAAUUAUGUACUGUACAUUGUGGAUAGGUGGUGAGCAAAUUACACUGGUAAAAGUACAGAGAUUGUGCUUGAAGAUUGGGAUUAGGAGUACAUCGACUCCUAGAACUGUGAGUAAACUUACUAUCGUCUUAAUUAUCUGGAGUAGUUUUUAUUAAAUUUUGAGAUUUUAUGGUAAAAUGGGUUUAAAUGGUAAAUUGUUAUGUUGUUUGAAUAAAUGUGAUUUUAUAAAAUGAUUUUAUAAAUUUUUAGAAAUUAAAUGAUGAUUUUGGAAAAAUAGAGUAAUUGGAGAUUGUUUAUAAAUUGUGUUUAAAUUAAAUGGCUUAUGACAAUAUAUGAGCAUGAAUGGCUAAACUGAUUUUUGGUGUUAGAAUUAUUUGUACUGUGUAUUCAUCCUUGAAAGGCUAGAUUACGAUAAAUUGACAUGUCAUGCAGAAAAAGAUUUUAUAAAUCAGGUGGUAGAUAAAAUAAUCUAUAAUCCCUGCAGUAGAGGUUCUGUGGACUAGCCUAUUAGAGGGGGCACAGAAUCAAAUAUACCUUACCUCGAUCGGAGAGCUGUGUGAAGGGUGUCUCUGGAGGUAAAGAUUUGAGUGCACUUCACGUGGACCACCGCGUGAGAGUGAGACUCAGCCAACGCCAAGGCAUGGCUAGAUUUUCAAAUAUAAAAAUAUGUUCAUGUGUGUACUACAUUGAACAGCCUUGGUAGUCUCAGUCAGAUGCCUAGGCCAAGGCAUCCCCGACAAUGAUUUUGGCAAGAGCCAAGUUGAUUAUUUGAGUAAAUUGAUUAUUGAUGUUAUGAAAAACAUAUUGGAAUGGAAUAUCUUACUUGUCUCCAUUUACUCUACUUUAGAUAGUUUAGAUGCUAUCUGUUUACUCAUUAAGAUUUUAUAAUCUCACCACCUUCAAUUCUCUACAUUUCAGGCUCGAGAUAGUUGGUAGAUAGCCGAUUGCAUCAAGGACUUCAGUUAGCCUUGCAUCGACAAAAUUGUAGGUUCACAAACUUGCACCUUAUUGGUUAGUUGGCGCCCCAUGUGUCAUUGUAAAAGUAAUUUUAUACCUCAGUUAUCUGCUUUAAAGUACAUAUGAAUAUACUUAGCUUUUAUACCACAGAAAUUAUUUACGGAUUUCUCUAUAAAUAUUAUUUUUUUUAAGAAAAUAAAAUAUUUUAUUGAAUAUCAUUAUUUCAUUUCAAACAAUUAUUUUAGACAUCUAAAUUUACUUUUACUUAUGAAACAUGUUUUUUUCACCCAUACACUAUGUUUUUGGCGGGUUUCGAUAUUUUUGAAGAAAAAUGACGAAAAUGCCCCUGUGAGACAGAAAAUAAUAUUAUAUUGUUUUGAUUUGAAAACGACUUAUGAUUUCUUGAAAUGCGAGAUUUAAUAACUGUCACUUACCGAGAGAUGCGAAAACUGAUGCUAAGCCUUGUGGGGUUCCGAUAGGCAUUUUGGGUAAUAAGUGUCUAUCGGGACGUCGCGGCGAUUGUGAUGGGCAUGAUGGGAGUUCUGGGUCAUGACAGGUUUUCUUGAGAUUUCGUCAUAAGAGAAUUUUUUUAUUUAAUUCUAUAAUUUUAUCCUCUUUUAUUUUAUUUAAAUAUUUAUGUAAAUCCUUUUAUAUGGAUAAUUUUUCAAAAAUCUCCAAAAGCUUAUGGCAGAAUUUUAAAAAAAUCUCUCACCUAAAAAUUCCUAAGAAGUCACUUUUAGUUUUCUAUGAGAUUCCAUCCUUGGGGAAUUUACAUAAAUUAUGUAAACUUCUAAUUUUUAAGGACCAAAUAAAUAAAUAAAUUAAUAAAUAAGAUACCUAAACCCUACAACUACCUGAAUAUUUUUAGAAUUUACUAUCCAAACUCAAGCCCAUUACCAUCCCACUUCCCAUGUGAUCAAAUGUUUGGGGCAUACGAGACAUUAUCUCUUUGCAAGGUUGAUGUCUUUGUGCCGGCUUUGAUGAGUUACUAGUAUAGAGCUCCAAAGAUUUAAGUGUGCUCAACAGUUGCACAAUCCAUUAACCAAUAUGAAUUUAGCAAUGGGACGGUUUAAGAGAGUGGUAGGAUGGCUUCUGUGAGACCCUGUCAAGCUCGAUUAAAAGACGGUAUUGUACCGAGUGGUACAACUAAGUUAAAUCGAGCCUUGAACUAGUUCAAAUAGAAAUUCUAAGAGGAAUUUGAAAAUUAAAAAAAAAACCCAUAGAAUGGCGUAGAACAGUGAUUCGGAGUUCAAGGUCCAAUUUGGAGUCCAUCAGAAAAAUUGAUCAAUUAGGGACGAAACGGUCAUUUUACCGUUUGGUGAUAAAAUGGAGAUUUUAGCCAAGAUUUGAUCACAUUUGACCAAGAAUAAUUAUAUAAGAUAUAAUUAUGAUUAUUAGAGUAUAAAAUGAUGUUUAGCAGUGAAAAAUUAUGAUUCCUGGUAUUUUUGGAGCACAAGGGCAAAAUGGUAAUUUUACCACUAGAGGACUAAACGAAAAUUUUUAUAAAACGAGUUUUUUGCCCCAUUUGGUUAAUAUUGAUCAAUGUUAGUGUUAUUUGAGGUUGAAAAGUAGAAAUAAUUUGAUUCCGGUACAUUUCGGAGUAUAGGGGCAAAAUCGUAAUUUUUUCACCCGAGGGCAAAUCGGUAAAUUUUUUACCCCAGCACUUGUCAAGGCCAAGGGAUUUUAUUCAUCCUGUAAAUGGAUAAACAUGAGAAAUGUGUGGUGGAGAGAGAUUGCUUAAUGGCUGAGUAUGACACAUGGACCAAUGGAAUGGUGACAUGUGUCAAAAUCUCAUCCAUUCAUUAUUUUCUUUAUAAAAGGCAUAAAAAACAGCCCAUUUCUCCCAUAGUGAUCAGCCAAACCAGAAGAGAAGAGAAACCAAGGAAGAACAAGCCCUAGGUGGGAAAAAUCAAAGAGAAAGUGUUAGAAUUCAAGGAAACAAUCUAGGUAAGUUAAAAUUUCUUUAAUUCUCCUUGAUACCUAGCUUACCCAUGCUUUUGUUCUUGAUUUCCAUGGUUGAAUAUUGAGUUAUCAUGAUGAAUUCAAUUCUGAAAAAUGGGUAUGGAAGAGGAAUUGUUGUUGGAAUAAUUUGAUUUUAGACUAUGUUAGUGUUUAGAGAUAGUUAAGCAUGGUUAUGAACAAAAACACAAAAGAAAUAUUCAAUUUCUCUAGGGUUCCUUGUUGGUUGAACCAUGAGGGCUGAAUAUCAAUGGGAGAUUGCUUUUGUUUCAAGGAAAAUGGCUUGGAAAUAUGAUGAAUUAAGGUGAAACGGUUAUGUAGAAAAAUUUUCGGUGUUAGUGCACCAAAUGACCGAAUUUUUCUAUAAGGAACUAUGAGGGUUCUAAUGCUGAAUUUGGCUUUAUUUAAAUGGUAUGUGGUAAAUUAAGGUAUUAGAGGAGAAAUGGAUUAAUUUGGAGUGAAAUUGGAUGCAUUGGCCAAUUUAUCGGAUGAAAAAUUUACUUAGGCCACUACCGAGUCUAGAUGGCUACCCGUGCAUUUUUCAUUUCAUAUCAUAUAUAUAUCGAGCCUGAAAUAGCUUAUGACUAUUAGACACAAUUUAAUUGGAAUAUGUGUCAUGGAUUAUGGUUAGGUGGUGAGCCAUUGCAUACAGGUAAAGGACUGUACCCGCUGAUUGAAAAUAGGAGUAUUUCUACUCCUAAUACCGGUGAGUGGACUUGCAUUUCAAACUUGUUUUGGGGAAUAUGAAAGGUUUUAUCCAACUUGUCUUAGAAAAUGUACCCUGGGAACAAGCUUUUAGUAAAAUGAUUUUAUAUUGUGAAAAUUUGCUAUACAAUGGUUUAUGUGUUAUCACAAUAUGAUAAACUACAUGAUAUGCAUUGGAUGCUUCUUUGCAUGUUGAUGUGGACCCGGCUAUGUAUGAGUAGGAGUGCAUAUAAGCCAUUGCUGACCCGGCUAUGUGCGAGUAGGAGUGCACAUAUGCCGUUGCUAACCCUGCUAUGUGCGAGUGGGAGUGCACAUAUGCCGUUGCUGACCCGCCUAUGUGCGAGUAGGAGUGCGCAUAAGCCGUUGCUGACCCGGCUAUGUGCGAGUGGGAGUACGCAUAAGCCGUUGCAUAUGAGAUGAUGAUGAUGGGAUGAUGUGCAUGAUGAUGAUGAUGAGAUGGUGUGCAUGUUUAUGAUGGGUAUAUGGUUGUAAAUGCAAAUAUGUAAGCAUUUGUUUUGUUGAAAUUUGGAAGUUUACAUGUGUUACAUGUUGCUAUUGUUAUUUUAGCAGGAUGACUUGUUUUAAGGGAAAAAUGAGACUUUUUCCUUGAUGUUCUGGUUCUCGCUGCAGCGAGAAUGAAGUUCGCUACAGCGAGAAACUUUCUGUCCAUUUUGCUAAC
rnacentral:lncRNA from 1 species